rnacentral:misc_RNA from 1 species
UAUUACUUUGUGUCUCUUAGUCAACCUGAUCUGGUCCAUGUUCGUGGGGAGGGCAUCAUGGACAUCAUGGGCAUGUCCACACCAGUGUCCACACCCUGUCCACCCCCCCGCACUCGCCCAUGCUGUCGCACAGACCAAAGCAGGCACUCCCGCACCCACUCCCUCAUAUCGAGGGGCACCAUCCAGCACCCCUCCCCCACUAAUGAUCCUUCCGCAGGUUCACCUACGGAAA